UCCUUAGCUCAAGAAUUAGCUUUCAAUUUUUAUUAUUAAAUUUGAAAACCCGGCGUGAUGAAUCAAGUAUGUUUAGUACAUCCACUAAGACUUUAAGUUAGCUUCACGAGACCUAUUAAGAAUAGAAUUUCUUGUAGGCUUUAUGAACCAAGGGGAUUAGCGCUGCUUUCCCAAGACGAGUUUAUGUGAUUAUGAUCUUCAGGCUUUGCCUAUCCAGGUUGAGCAACUGAUGGAAUGGAAUGAUGUUGAGCGGGUGUUCCUUUGACAUUUCAAGAAAUGUAACAUUGAGUAUACAUCUUCAUAUGUAUAUCUCACACGUUUUCCGCUGCAAAACACUUUAAUUAGGAUAGCUCUAUGUUAUGAAGUUGUGAUACGUGUUAUUGGGUAACCCACCUUAAUCAGUUCUCAUUUA